rnacentral:misc_RNA from 1 species
GUGAAUCAUCGAAUCUUUGAACGCACAUUGCGCCCGCCAGUAUUCUGGCGGGCAUGCCUGUCCGAGCGUCAUUUCAACCCUCAAGCCCCCGGGCUUGGUGUUGGAGAUCGGCGAGCCCCCCGGGGCGCGCCGUCUCCCAAAUAUAGUGGCGGUCCCGCUGUAGCUUCCUCUGCGUAGUAGCACACCUCGCACUGGGAAACAGCGUGGCCACGCCGUAAAACCCCCCACUUCUGAAAGGUUGACCUCGGAUCAGGUAGGAAUACCCGCUGAACUUAAGCAUAUCAAUAAGCGGAGGA